UACCGUCACAGUCGAAGGCAAAGAUGAAGUGUUCGCGCUGAGUAAUAUCCAGAAGGCGAACCUGGUUCCCCACUUUUAACAGUCUGGAUGAGGUGAAAAGCCCGCGAUGAACAAAGAAAUUUUGGCUACCGACACAGGUGGUCAGGUAGAGAAUACCAAGGCGCUUGAGAGAACUCGGGUGAAGGAACUAGGCAAAAUGGUGCCGUAACUUCGGGAGAAGGCACGCUGACAUGUAGGUGAAGUGAUUUACUCAU
rnacentral:rRNA from 1 species